rnacentral:rRNA from 1 species
GACGAACGCUGGCGGCGUGCUUAACACAUGCAAGUCGAACGGAAAGGCCCUGCUUUUGUGGGGUGCUCGCGUGGCGAACGGGUGAGUAACACGUGAGUAACCUGCCCUUGACUUUGGGAUAACUUCAGGAAACUGGGGCUAAUACCGGAUAGGAGCUCCUGCUGCAUGGUGGGGGUUGGAAAGUUUCGGCGGUUGGGGAUGGACUCGCGGCUUAUCAGCUUGUUGGUGGGGUAGUGGCUUACCAAGGCUUUGACGGGUAGCCGGCCUGAGAGGGUGACCGGCCACAUUGGGACUGAGAUACGGCCCAGACGCCUACGUGAGGCAGCAGUGGAGAAUAUUGCACAAUGGGCGGAAGCCUGAUGCAGCAACGCCGGGUGCGGGAUGACGGCCUUCGGGUUGUAAACCGCUUUCGCCUGUGACGAAGCGGGAGUGACGGUAAUGGGUAAAGAAGCACCGGCUAACUACGUG